rfam:Arthrobacter gangotriensis Lz1y contig000004, whole genome shotgun sequence.
CAAUCACGACAGGGGAGCGUCGGGCGAAGAAAUUCGUCCCAAGACGCUGAGAGUGCGGAUAGCCGCAGACCCUCGAACCUGCCCCGGCUAGUACCGGCGAAGGAAGUCGAGUUCUCAGGGGU